GAUGAACGCUAGCGGGAGGCCUAAUACAUGCAAGUCGAACGGUAAGGUCCCUUCGGGGAUACACGAGUGGCGGACGGGUGCGUAACGCGUACGAAACAUACCUUCAACAGGGAGAUACCUCCGGGAAACUGGAAAUAAUACCCCAUAGUAUUGUGACAUCGCAUGAUGUUACAAUUAAAGCUUUGGCGGUUGAAGAUUGUCGUGCGUCUGAUUAGCUAGUUGGUGGAGGUAACGCUCACCAAGGCGACGAUCAGUAGCUGGUCUGAGAGGAUGAUCAGCCACACGUGGAACUGAGACACGGUCCAGACUCCGUACGGGAGGCAGCAGUAGGGAAUAUGGACAAUGGGCGAAGCCUGAUCCAGCACUCCCGCGUGUAGGAAUAA
rnacentral:rRNA from 1 species